rnacentral:sRNA from 1 species
UAGAGGUACGAUUUAAGGCGCUCGUUAAC